GCAUAUCAAUAAGCGGAGGAAAAGAAACCAACAGGGAUUGCCUAGUAACGGCGAGUGAAGCGGCAACAGCUCAAAUUUGAAAUCUGGCGUCUUUGGCGUCCGAGUUGUAAUUUGCAGAGGGCGCUUUGGCAUUGGCAGCGGUCCAAGUUCCUUGGAACAGGACGUCACAGAGGGUGAGAAUCCCGUACGUGGUCGCUAGCCUUUACCGUGUAAAGCCCCUUCGACGAGUCGAGUUGUUUGGGAAUGCAGCUCUAAAUGGGAGGUAAAUUUCUUCUAAAGCUAAAUACUGGCCAGAGACCGAUAGCGCACAAGUAGAGUGAUCGAAAGAUGAAAAGCACUUUGGAAAGAGAGUUAAAAAGCACGUGAAAUUGUUGAAAGGGAAGCGCUUGCAGCCAGACUUGCCUGUAGUUGCUCAUCCGGGUUUUUACCCGGUGCACUCUUCUACGGGCAGGCCAGCAUCAGUUUGGGCGGUUGGAUAAAGGUCUCUGUCAUGUACCUCCUCUCGGGGAGAUCUUAUAGGGGAGACGACAUGCAACCAGCCUGGACUGAGGUCCGCGCAUCUGCUAGGAUGCUGGCGUAAUGGCUGUAAGCGGCCCGUCUUGAAACACGGACCAAGGAGUCUAACAUCUAUGCGAGUGUUUGGGUGUCAAGCCCGAACGCGUAAUGAAAGUGAACGGAGGUGGGAACCUUUCGGGGUGCACCAUCGACCGAUCCUGAUGUCUUCGGAUGGAUUUGAGUAAGAGCAUAGCUGUUGGGACCCGAAAGAUGGUGAACUAUGCUUGAAUAGGGUGAAGCCAGAGGAAACUCUGGUGGAGGCUCGCAGCGGGUUCUGACGUGCAAAUCGAUCGUCAAAUUUGGGCAUAGGGGCGAAAGACUAAUCGAACUAUCUAGUAGCUGGGUCCUGCGAAG
rnacentral:rRNA from 1 species